UACGGAGGAUGCGAGCGUUAUCCGGAUUUAUUGGGUUUAAAGGGUGCGCAGGCGGGCUUUUAAGUCAGCGGUGAAAUCUGGACGCUUAACGUCCAGACUGCCGUUGAAACUGGGAGUCUUGAGUAUGGAUGAAGUAGGCGGAAUUCGUUGUGUAGCGGUGACAUGCAUAGAUAUAACGAGGAACUCCGAUUGCGUAGGCAGCUUACUAAGCCAUAACUGACGCUCAUGCACGAAAGCGUGGGGAUCAAACAGG
rnacentral:rRNA from 1 species